UUGUUCAGCAAUUCCGCAGCAUCGCAUCUCCCUUCUGUCUUCUCCACAUUUGUUCUCUCCCUUCCGUCUCCUCCUUCAUCUUCUCUACCUUGUCCUCUCCCUUCCGUCUCCUCUUAACAUCCUUUCUGUGGCCGCCGCCGGGCAGCAGAAAACGUCACCCAUUUGUAGCAGCUGGUGUUCGUACACUGACACUCUGCCAACAGUAACGGGCCACCAAACACCGUUCUUAGUCUGUAAAUGUCUGCGAGCCUUCCCCACUGGAGCCAACCCCGCAUAUAAAGAAAUAGGUUUUUACGGACAUGCUUCGGUCCAAAAGAACAAAAUAAAUAAAAAAAAAUCCGGAUCUAAAGACGGAGGUUUCAAUGGUGAUGAGAACAAAAGGGUACAUGUUGUAGAAACCUUGGAAAAGGGGUUUCAAGCACCAAAUCAAAUAAAAAUACAAAUAAAUAUUUGACAAAAUAACUUCAGAAAUAUUAAAAAUGGAGAACAAAUGUUUUCAAUUAACUUUUCAAUAUAGAAUAGAGCUUUAAAAUAACAAAAAUGGAAAUAUUGAUAAAUUUACCUAUUUUUUGUUUCUUGAUCUUUCCAAUAUGCUUCAAUGUAAAAGUUUUAAAGUAAGGUUUCUUUUCAGUGAACUUUCCAAUAUGCUAUAUGCUAUAUUGUAAAAGUGAAAAUAGUGUUUCUUUUCAGGGCAUAAGUAUUUAUAGGAAGUUUCCCUCCAAAAUGUUGAUUCAAAAAUAUACUCCUUCUUUCCUAUUUUACCUGUCCUAUUUACUAUUCAUGGGUUAAACCAA